rnacentral:rRNA from 1 species
GACGAACGCUGGCGGCGUGCUUAACACAUGCAAGUCGAGCGGUAAGGCCCUUUCGGGGGUACACGAGCGGCGAACGGGUGAGUAACACGUGGGUGACCUGCCCUCAGCUCUGGGAUAAGCCUGGGGAAACCGGGUCUAAUACCGGAUAUGACUCCAUGACGCAUGUUGUGGGGUGGAAAGCCUUGUGCGGCUGAGGAUGGGCCCGCGGCCUAUCAGCUUGUUGGUGGGGUGAUGGCCUACCAAGGCGACGACGGGUAGCCGGCCUGAGAGGGCGACCGGCCACACUGGGACUGAGACACGGCCCAGACUCCUACGGGAGGCAGCAGUGGGGAAUCUUGCGCAAUGGGCGAAAGCCUGACGCAGCGACGCCGCGUGAGGGAUGACGGCCU